rnacentral:misc_RNA from 1 species
CCCAACUAUCCCUAUUAAUCAUUACGUCGAUCCUAGAAACCAACAAAAUAGAAUCAAACGUCCUAUUUCAUUAUUCCAUGCUAAUGUAUUCAAGCGAAAGCCUGCUUUAAACACUCUAAUUUUUUCAAAGUAACAGUCCUGAUUCCCCACGACAUCAAAUAAAUGACAUCAUGGUUCUUCAGAAGGGAGAAAUCAAUAAUACCAGUACAUACCUAAGCAUGACCAAUAUAUUGAUCCCGAAAUUCAACUACGAGCUUUUUAACUGCAACAACUUUAAUAUACGCUAUUGGAGCUGGAAUUACCGCGGCUGCUGGCACCAGACUUGCCCUCCAA